rnacentral:rRNA from 1 species
UGGCUCAGAGUGAACGCUGGCGGUAGGCCUAACACAUGCAAGUCGAACGGCAGCACAGUAAGAGCUUGCUCUUAUGGGUGGCGAGUGGCGGACGGGUGAGGAAUACAUCGGAAUCUACCUUUUCGUGGGGGAUAACGUAGGGAAACUUACGCUAAUACCGCAUACGACCUUCGGGUGAAAGCAGGGGACCUUCGGGCCUUGCGCGGAUAGAUGAGCCGAUGUCGGAUUAGCUAGUUGGCGGGGUAAAGGCCCACCAAGGCGACGAUCCGUAGCUGGUCUGAGAGGAUGAUCAGCCACACUGGAACUGAGACACGGUCCAGACUCCUACGGGAGGCAGCAGUGGGGAAUAUUGGACAAUGGGCGCAAGCCUGAUCCAGCCAUACCGCGUGGGUGAAGAAGGCCUUCGGGUUGUAAAGCCCUUUUGUUGGGAA